ACCGGAUGUGACACUUCAUAGUACAACGAAUCCGGGCAUACUCCCUGUCCAGAUUCGUUGUACUAUGAAGUGUCCUAUCCGGU
rfam:Oryza meridionalis cultivar OR44 (W2112) chromosome 6, whole genome shotgun sequence.